CCGCCGCAUCCGCGAGCGAGAACGGGCCGUACAGGGGGCGCUACGCGCAGAAUCGCUACAGCGUGCACGCGGGGAUGUACGGAGAGAAGCCGCUGCUGGAUAUGGACGUGGAGGGGCAGAGCAAGGACGGGACGCGGCCGCUGAUGCAUCAGCCGGCGCUGCACGGUCUGCACCGGCAGCGCAAGCUCUCCCUGCAGGAGAUCGAAAAAGACUACCUAUAGAGGCGGCAGCAGCAGGCAGCAGCAGGCAGCAGCAAGAGGCAACAACCGGCAGUAAGCGGCAACAACUGGCAGCGGCGAGUUAAUUCUGUGUGCGGCCACGCUUGUUCGUCGACCGGAGAUCGGCUCAUCAUACCACGUCCAGCAACGCUCAUUCAUUCCACGCCCGCUCGUCGUGCUGCGUCGUGACGCUCAUUCAUUCCACGCCGGAUCGUCGUGCUGCAUUGCGACACUCAUUCGUUCCAUGUCGGUUGACAUUCGAUUAGUUGUCCCGCAGCAUGACGCCCAUUCGUCCCGCGAAAGCAUUUCAGCCGCUUGGUCAGUUGGCUGCAUUCCUGUUCCGUUUUCGGGAGCCGGGGAAUUAGAGGCAACUAUCGGACUAUUACCCUUGCUACCCUUCACCUCUGCGCUUCCAACAAAACUCUGCCCAGCUUUCUUCUUGCGCAGGAGGAGAAAAUGCAAUUCGAGGUGCUGGUGAGGUGUGGUGAUCAUACACACUGAGUAGGUCACACUGGGGGCAGCUUACUAUGGUUGUAUUUAAUGACACUUCUAGUGAAUCCCAAUUUUUUGACGUUUUCACAAGAUGCUGCACACUACGGAAUUUAAUCGUUGCCAUGGCAACAAAUAAUGAGAUUGUGAGGUGCGCGUGUGUAUAGUUUGUAAGCGCGUCGUCGACGGCAUGUAAAUAAUCAGCUAUAGCCGGCACGUGAAACGCGCGUGUAUAUGUAUAACGAAAAUAAGAUGCCAAAUUUAUACGACUAUGAUGUUGUUUGGAUAUGAUGAAGAUCAGUCGUAAAUAGAUGGUUGUGGUGGGAUUUUUAUUGUUACGCAUACAUAUGUAUCACACGUGUAAUGUGCACGUGCAUGUUACGAGACAACGAAUCGCGUGAUGGUGGGAUAGCGUUAGGCAUGUACUAUUGUUUAUCGUGCGCCAUCUACCAGUGGGGUGAAGUUCCCCGGCGAAUGUUCCCACCGUGUAUUCUCUAUACUGGUUUGAUUCGCGAACGACAGCAUUUCGAACGAAUUUUAGAGAAUGGUGUAUUCCGGGCAUCUACCACACUGGUUCAUGAACGACGUCUUUUUCCUUCAACUGACACCUGCUUUGCGUCUUGUUUCUCAUGCUGUAUAGCUUACGCAUACACGAUGCUAUAUGUUGUGCCAGUUUCUUCGAUUAUGUAUACAGAUAUAGAUAUUGACUGUGGUGGUGGGUACUGUAUGCAGCAGGACUGCAAUGCAGUUGAACACCACACGUGGCAGAGCGCUGCUACAACUAUUUCAUUUUCGUGAUCGCCACAGUAAAUGAAACUUAUGUGGUGGCAUGCGUUAUGAUUAAUAAUUCCAUGGCAGGCGGAUUUGCGCAGCUAUCGUCACUGCGUAGUACGUAGUAGACAUGGUCAUUAGGCAGCUCUCGUUUUGCGUUGAUGUGCAGGUUAUACAUUCCCCUCGUUUCACAUUCCGAUAUUCCCGGCGUACGUUUGCGUUGAUGUGCAGGUUAUACAUUCCCCUCGUUUCACAUUCCGAUAUUCCCGGCGUACGUUUGCGUUGAUGUGCAGGUUAUACAUUCCCCUCGUUUCACAUUCCGAUAUUCCCGGCGUACAUUUUUACCAGAAGUGUAUAAUAUAGAUGAUAUUAUACACUCCUGAUUUUACGGCAUCUCGUGCAGCUUCCAUUGUCAUUACCUCCCUGAAUACUUACCUCUCGAGUUGAUUACUGUACUACACUCUCCCUGGGUAACUGGUGAACACGUUCGAACAGAAGUUAUCUAUUGUUAUCUAACAAUUGUCUAUUGUGUGCAUCAGAUGUUGGCACGGGUGACCGUGAAAAGAGUGCCAUUGUUUUUCUCGGACAGCUUUUUUUUAUUUCUCGGGGAGCCAUUUUGUUUCUCGGGCCAUCCAUCAGUUGGGUUGACCCCCUGUGGUUGUUGUACAGGUGUGAUGUGAUAUGUGGCUAGUGGUGUGAUUUGGAAAGGUCCCGAUUUUGUCAAUACAUUCCUUGAUGGUUGUUGUGUUAUACUCCAUUUACAUUUCGCUAUGACGAACAAGUUAUGCAUUUUUUUCACUCUAGGCUGAUGCAUUUUCCUCGAUACUGUAACCUUUCAAUCUUAGAUUGAUUCCCGUAAUCGAUUUAUCCCAAAUUUAAGUGGCUGGUGUGACAAUAUGCACGUUUGUAUAUGUUCAGCAUUUCUCUGCUCUUUCACUGUGUUAAGUGUCCCGCGACAACCUUUAGCUUGAAUGAGAUGUAUCCUACGAGGCACCAAUCAGAAAACUGCUGGUCUUCUAAAACCUAGCGCAGAGCUGCAAUUUUUUCAUGCAGCUUGACAGCGAUUCUAGAAUCGCUGUAAAAAUUGUUGUGAAAUCGCUACGUCUGUGGGAACGUGCAACUGCAACCCGUAGCGAUUCUGGUCGCUUGCGACGAGUUGCAAGAAAUCAAACUAGUUUGGUUUUUGGGCAACUCAUCGCUCCCAAAAUGCUCUAGAAUUGCUUCGAAAUCGCCUGUGUGCGCACACGCGGUGACACAUCGACCGAUCGCUUGCGGUUGCAGUUUGCAGCGACGAGCAACCAAAAAUCGCAAGUCUGCGCUAGGCUUAAUCUUUUACCUAAUUCGAUGAACUCUGCCCCAAUCAGAGAAUGUGUUUCUACUGCGGGCGGUGUCGUUAGAUGUCUUUUUCGUGCGUAAAAACCGACAAGGGACGCGUCUAACCAGUAGGUCGUGCGACGUGGCAGAGUGGAAGUGCUAACUGGAGCACGUUUUCGUUAACAUGAAAUGGUCAACGGUUUCACUGUGAUGAAAAAACGUGAUUAUUUGUGCAGCUGACGCAGCGAGUCGUGCAUAAUUUAUCAUGGAUUAUGCAUAACUUGUGAGAAAUCCAUUCCAUUUCGUUACUACUUGAAGCAUGCGUUAUUAGUUCAGCGUUGUGAUCUAGCAGCUAUCUGAUAGUUGCUUUUCUUUUGAACUGAAGCGUUUUGUUAUCGUCGGUUUUGUUAACAUUCCAAAAUGCAUUUCGCCUCUUGUACGGGGGCUGUUCCUUUUACGUUUCAGAUUGUGCCACGAGGAAUUGCAAGCACAGCUUGGGAAUUCAGUUCCAUAACCGUGAACAUGUGUAUACUUGGUAGAUACUUUCAUGUAUGUGCGUGCGUGCGUGCGUACGUGCGCGCGUGGGUGUAUGUAUGUGUAGUAUGCGUGGGUUCAUGGUACGUUGCGGGCAGCUAUUCGUUAAUAAGCAUCACCAGUGCACGUUUGCUGCAUUCUCAAAGAGAGGCAGGUUGUUGAUUUUGAGGUUGUAGUAGGUACGUUUUAUUUACGAUGAUCUCUCAUACUCCGCACCGACCUGGCCAGCGUGUGUUCAUUUCAUCAGGUUUCAGGGGGGCUCUCGCGUGUGCGUGCGGUGUGUGCGUGCGUCUUAUCUGUUACUGGGCUCCUUAUUCAGUCUUUACGCUGUAGUGUUACAAACAGUCAAAUUAAGUACUGUGUGUGUUUGUGACCGUUGUAAUUAGAUAGCAGGUUAGUACGCAUUCUAGCUUUUUACUGUUGGCAUGUUUUACUCUUUUUGUUUGUUGGUAUCCCCACCCAGAAGCUUCUGCCACUGUUCGCCAAUCUGCAAAUGUAUAUCAAACUGACACAACUGAUACAUAAGUGAUAUGUUCUGUACAUUCCCCCAUAUUGGCUUGGCUAGUAAUCACUUUAUGAAAAUGUAGGUGGCGCCACUAGGGUUGUAGGUUUGAAAGUAUUGUGAUUACUGAUCAGUGGUACACAUCUAUGCUUGACAUGCAAUUGCAUGUUCACCUCAGCAUUUUAACCAGUCAGCACAUUGCCACUGCCCCCCCCCCAUCCUGUCUUCCGCUACCGGAUAGUGCCUUAUGUGAGUUUCUGUUCUGUGUACUACACGUCUUCUGUUCGAUCAUGCAAUAAUAUUCGGUAGGCUUUGUAUUUGUAUUUGUCGUUUUCUCCUGUUACUGUUGUAGUGGUGAAGCCCUUCCUUUGUAGAAACGAUUGCUUCUUGUAAA